CAGCCCUCUUGCUAAUAUUUGUAUUUGAACAUUCACUAGUUGAUUGUUUCAAUCUAUUUCCUACGAUGUUCCUCUAUUAGUCUUUAUCUAAUAGGCUAAUUUUAGAGCAAUUUCAGAUUUGCAGAAAAACUGAGCAGAAGGGCACAAAGCAUUCCCAUCAGCCCCUGCUCCCAGGGGUACACAGUCUCCCAGGCUGUCGCUCUCUGCCGCCAGACUGGUGUGUUUGUUAUACUUGAUGAACUUGCCUUGACAUGUUCUUAUCUCUCUACAUCUCCAGCUCACACCUUGGUGAGUUUGGUGAGUUUGGAGCAAUGCAUCCUGU
rnacentral:lncRNA from 1 species